GUUCAACCCCGGGGUUGAAAUUUCAACCCUGCUAGCUGAAGCAGGGUUGAAAUUUCAACCCCGGGGUGAAC
rnacentral:miRNA from 1 species